rnacentral:rRNA from 1 species
CCUACGGGAGGCUGCAGUGAGGAAUAUUGGUCAAUGGCCGGGAGGCUGAACCAGCCAAGUCGCGUGAGGGAAGACGGCCCUACGGGUUGUAAACCUCUUUUGUCAGGGAGCAAGGUGCAGGUCGGGACCUGCUGUGAGAGUACCUGAAGAAAAAGCAUCGGCUAACUCCGUGCCAGCAGCCGCGGUAAUACGGAGGAUGCGAGCGUUAUCCGGAUUUAUUGGGUUUAAAGGGUGCGUAGGCGGUCCGUUAAGUCAGCGGUAAAAUUGCGGGGCUCAACCCCGUCGAGCCGUUGAAACUGGCAGACUUGAGUUGGCGAGAAGUACGCGGAAUGCGCGGUGUAGCGGUGAAAUGCAUAGAUAUCGCGCAGAACUCCGAUUGCGAAGGCAGCGUACCGGCGCCAGACUGACGCUGAGGCACGAAAGCGUGGGGAUCGAACAGGAUUAGAUACCCUUGUAGUC